AUUGAACGCUGGCGGCAGGCCUAACACAUGCAAGUCGAACGAGUGGCGGACGGGUGAGUAAUGUCUGGGAAACUGCCUGAUGGAGGGGGAUAACUACUGGAAACGGUAGCUAAUACCGCAUACCAUCGGAUGUGCCCAGAUGGGAGUAGCUUGGUGGUGGGGUAACGGCUCACCAAGGCGACGAUCCCUAGAUGGUCUGAGAGGAUGACCGGGCACACUGGAACUGAGACACGGUCCAGAGUCCUACGGGAGGCAGCAGUGGGGAAUUUUGCACAAUGGGCGCAAGCCUGAUGCAGCCAUGCCGCGGGUAUGAAGAAGGCCUUCGGGUUGUAAAGUACUUUCAGCGGGGAGGCGUUACCCGCAGAAGAAGCACCGGCUAACUCCGUGCCAGCAGCCGCGGUAAUAC
rnacentral:rRNA from 1 species